UGUGGAAACUAAGCUCAACGUGUCUGAGAUAAGGAAACUGAGGCAUAGAAAAAUAACCUGUCAAAUAGAGGGUGCUUCAGGAGGAAGGCAAAGAGAUACCU